AUUGAACGCUGGCGGCAUGCCUAACACAUGCAAGUCGAGCGGAUGAAUGGAGCUUUCUCCUGGAUUCAGCGGCGGACGGGCGAGUAAUUCCUAGGAAUCUGCCUGGUAGUUGGGGAUAACGUCCGUUAACGGGCGCUAAUACCGCAUACGUCCUGAUGUAGAAAGUGGGGGAUCUUUGGACCUCACGCUAUCAGAUGACCCUAGGUCGGAUUAGCUAGUUGGUUGGGUAAAGGCCUACCAAGGCGACGAUCCGUAACUGGUCUGAGAGGAUGAUCAGUCACACUGGAACUGAGACACGGUCCAGACUCCUACGGGAGGCAGCAGUGGGGAAUAUUGGACAAUGGGCGAAAGCCUGAUGCAGCCAUGCCGCGUGUGUGAAGAAGGUCUUCGGAUUGUAAAGCACUUUUAGUAGGGAGGAAGGGAAGUGUGUUAAUACCUUGCUGUUUUGACGUUACCAACAGAAUAAGCAACGGCUAACUUCGUG
rnacentral:rRNA from 1 species